CACGUAGGGGCCAAGCGUUGUCCGGAUUCAUUGGGCGUAAAGAGCUCGUAGGCGGUUCAGUUAGUCGGGUGUGAAAUCUCCGGGCUCAACCCGGAGGGGCCACCCGAUACUGCUGUGACUCGAGUCCGGUAGGGGAGUGGGGAAUUCCUGGUGUAGCGGUGAAAUGCGCAGAUAUCAGGAGGAACACCGGUGGCGAAGGCGCCACUCUGGGCCGGUACUGACGCUGAGGCGCGAAAGCCAGGGGAGCAAACGGG
rnacentral:rRNA from 1 species